rnacentral:rRNA from 1 species
GUGGAUUAGAUACCCUGGUAGUCCACGCGGUAAACGAUGAAUGCUAGGUGUAGGGGGUAUCGACCCCUCCUGUGCCGGAGUAAACACAAUAAGCAUUCCGCCUGGGGAGUACGGCCGCAAGGUUGAAACUCAAAGGAAUUGACGGGGGCCCGCACAAGCAGCGGAGCAUGUGGUUUAAUUCGACGCAACGCGAAGAACCUUACCAGGUCUUGACAUCGAUCUAAUACUCUGGAAACAGGGAGUGACUUCGGUCAAGAGAAGACAGGUGGUGCAUGGCUGUCGUCAGCU